GAUGAACGCUAGCGGCAGGCCUAACACAUGCAAGUCGAGGGAGAGGUUACCUUCGGGUAACCAAAACCGGCGCACGGGUGCGUAACGCGUAUACAAUCUGCCUUUCACAUAGGGAUAGCCCGAAGAAAUUUGGAUUAAUACCUAAUGGUAUAUAAGAGCGGCAUCGUUUUUAUAUUAAAGCUACGGUGGUGAAAGAUGAGUAUGCGUUCUAUUAGCUAGUUGGAGAGGUAACGGCUCCCCAAGGCGACGAUAGAUAGGGGUUCUGAGAGGGAUGUCCCCCACACUGGUACUGAGAUACGGACCAGACUCCUACGGGAGGCAGCAGUGAGGAAGAUUGGACAAUGGUCGGAAGACUGAUCCAGCCAUGCCGCGUGCAGGAUGAAGGUCCUAUGGAUUGUAAACUGCUUUUGUAAGGGAAGAAUAAGGAGUACGUGUACUUUGAUGACGGUACCUUACGAAUAAGCAUCGGCUAACUCCGUG
rnacentral:rRNA from 1 species